GAUGAACGCUGGCGGCACGCCUAACACAUGCAAGUCGAACGGAGAAUUUUUGGUUUACUGGAAAUUCUUAGUGGCGGACGGGUGAGUAACACGUGAGCAACCUACCUCUGAGAGGGGGAUAGCUUCUGGAAACGGAUGGUAAUACCUCAUGACAUAACUUGAAGGCAUCUUCAGGUUAUCAAAGAUUUAUCACUCAGAGAUGGGCUCGCGUCUGAUUAGCUAGAUGGUGAGGUAACGGCUCACCAUGGCGACGAUCAGUAGCCGGACUGAGAGGUUGAACGGCCACAUUGGGACUGAGACACGGCCCAG
rnacentral:rRNA from 1 species